CAAUAGCGUAUAUUAAAGUUGUUGCAGUUAAAAAGCUCGUAGUUGGAUUUCGGAGCCGACCGGGCGGUCUGUCGAGAGACACGCACUGCUCGGUGGCUCUUCCUCUCGGAGGCCCUGGCUGCCCUUAACUGGAGCGGGCAGGGGAUUCGGGACGUUUACUUUGAAAAAAUUAGAGUGUUCAAAGCAGGCCGGUGCUUGGAUACAUUAGCAUGGAAUAAUGGAAUAGGGCUUGGGUCCUAUUUUGUUGGUUUUCGGGACCGAGGUCAUGGUUAAGAGGGACAGUUGGGGGCAUUCGUAUUCAAUUGUCAGAGGUGAAAUUCUUGGAUUUAUGGAAGACGAACAACUGCGAAAGCGUUUGCCAAGGAUGUUUUCAUUAA
rnacentral:rRNA from 1 species